UAGAGUUUGAUCCUGGCUCAGAUUGAACGCUGGCGGCAUGCCUUACACAUGCAAGUCGAACGGCAGCACGGGAGCAAUCCUGGUGGCGAGUGGCGAACGGGUGAGUAAUACAUCGGAACGUGCCCUGUCGUGGGGGAUAACUAGUCGAAAGAUUAGCUAAUACCGCAUACGACCUGAGGGUGAAAGCGGGGGACCGUAAGGCCUCGCGCGAUAGGAGCGGCCGAUGUCUGAUUAGCUAGUUGGUGAGGUAAGAGCUCACCAAGGCGACGAUCAGUAGCUGGUCUGAGAGGACGAUCAGCCACACUGGGACUGAGACACGGCCCAGACUCCUACGGGAGGCAGCAGUGGGGAAUUUUGGACAAUGGGGGCAACCCUGAUCCAGCAAUGCCGCGUGUGUGAAGAAGGCCUUCGGGUUGUAAAGCACUUUUGUCCGGAAAGAAAUCCCCUGGGCUAAUACNCGGGGGGAUGACGGUACCGGAAGAAUAAGCACCGGCUAACUAC
rnacentral:rRNA from 1 species